AUUAAACGCUGGCGGCAGGCUUAACACAUGCAAGUCGAGCGGAGAUGAGGUGCUUGCACCUUAUCUUAGCGGCGGACGGGUGAGUAAUGCUUAGGAAUCUGCCUAUUAGUGGGGGACAACAUUCCGAAAGGAAUGCUAAUACCGCAUACGUCCUACGGGAGAAAGCAGGGGAUCUUCGGACCUUGCGCUAAUAGAUGAGCCUAAGUCGGAUUAGCUAGGUGGUGGGGUAAAGGCCUACGAAGGCGACGAUCUGUAGCGGGUCUGAGAGGAUGCACCGCCACACUGGGACUGAGACACGGCCCAGACUCCUGCGGGAGGAAGCAGUGGGGAAUAUUGGACAAUGAGGAGAACCCUGAUCCAGCCAUGCCGCGUGUGUGAAGAAGGCCUUAUGGUUGUAAAGCACUUUAAGCGAGGAGGAGGCUACUGAGACUAAUACUCUUGGAUAGUGGACGUUACUCGCAGAAUAAGCACCGGCUAACUCUGUGCCAGCAGCCGCCGUAAUAC
rnacentral:rRNA from 1 species